rnacentral:rRNA from 1 species
UACGUAGGGGUGCGAGCGUUAAUCGGAAUUACUGGGCGUAAAGCGUGCGCAGGCGUCUGUUAAGACCGAUGUGAAAUCCCCGGGCUUAACCUGGGAACUGCAUUGGUGACUGGCAGGCUUUGAGUGUGGCAGAGGGAGGUGAGAAUCCACGUGUAGCAGUGAAAUGCGUAGAGAUGUGGAGGAAUACCGAUGGCGAAGGCGGCCUCCUGGGCCAAACACUGGACGCUCAUGCACGAAAGCGUGGGGAGCAAACAGG